GACGAACGCUGUCGGCGUGCCUAAUACAUGCAAGUGGGACGCAAGGGCCCACACUGUGCUUGCACAUCGUGUUUUCUUGAUUUGCGUACGGGUUAGUAACGCGUCACUAACCUGCCUUUUAGCGUGUGGUAACUAUUUCAAACGAUAGCUAAUACCGCAUACUAUUUAUUAUUGCAUGAUAAUUUAUUGAACGAUGCAAUCGCCUCACUACUACUUGGACCUGCGUUGUAUUAGCUCGUUGGUAAGGUAAGAGCUUACCAAGGCGACGAUACAUAGCCGACCGGAGAGGGUGAUCGGCAACACUGGGAGGGAGACACGGCCCAGACGCCUACGGGAGGCAGCAGUAGGGAAUCGUCGGCAAUGGACGAAAGUCUGACCGAGCAACGCCGCGUGAGUGAAGAAGGUUUUCGGAUCGGAAAGAUCUGUUGUAAGUCAAGAACGUGUGUGAGAGUGGAAAGUUCACACAGUGACGGUAGCUUACCAGAAAGGGACGGCUAACUACGUG
rnacentral:rRNA from 1 species